GAUGAGAUUCAACUUACGUAAAUGGAGAACUGAAGCAUCUCAACAAUCAAAGGAAAAAAAGCAAAAGUGAUUCCCAUAGUAGCGACAAGCGAAAUAAGAGCAGCCUAAACCGUGAAAACAAGUUAUGGGAGAGCUAUACAAGUGUCGUGUUCCUAAGUGAACCAAAAUAAAAUGCUACACCCUAGAUGGCGAGAGUCCAAUAGCCAAAAGCAUCACUAGCUUACGCUCGGACAUGAGUGGCAUGAGACACAUUGAAUCCCUUGUAAAUCAGCAAGGACCACCUUACAAGACUAAAUACCUUAUC
rnacentral:ncRNA from 1 species